UACGAAGGUGGCAAGCGUUGUUCGGAUUUACUGGGCGUACAGGGAGCGUAGGCGGUUGGAUAAGCCCUCCGUGAAAUCUCCAGGCUUAACCUGGAAAGUGCAGAGGGGACUGUUCAGCUAGAGGAUGGGAGAGGAGCGCGGAAUUCCCGGUGUAGCGGUGAAAUGCGUAGAGAUCGGGAGGAAUACCGGUGGCGAAGGCGGCAUCCUGGACCGGCAUUGACGCUGAUGAGCGAAAGCUAGGGGAGCAAACGGG
rnacentral:rRNA from 1 species